rnacentral:rRNA from 1 species
UACGAAGGGGGCUAGCGUUGCUCGGAAUCACUGGGCGUAAAGCGCACGUAGGCGGAUUGCUAAGUCAGGGGUGAAAUCCUGGAGCUCAACUCCAGAACUGCCUUUGAUACUGGCGAUCUCGAGUCCGGGAGAGGUGAGUGGAACUGCGAGUGUAGAGGUGAAAUUCGUAGAUAUCGGGAGGAACACCAGUGGCGAAGGCGGCGACCUGGGCCAAUACUGACGCUGAGGUGCGAAAGCGUGGGGAGCAAACAGG